rnacentral:rRNA from 1 species
GACGAACGCUGGCGGCGUGCUUAACACAUGCAAGUCGAACGGUAAGGCCCCUUCGGGGGUACACGAGUGGCGAACGGGGGAGUAACACGUGAGCAACCUGCCCUUGACUCUGGGAUAACAGUUGGAAACAGCUGCUAAUACCGGAUACGACCUUUGACGACAUCAUCUGGAGGUGGAAAGCCCUUUAGCGGUCAAGGAUGGGCUCGCGGCCUAUCAGCUUGUUGGCGAGGUAACGGCUCACCAAGGCUUCGGCGGUUAGCCGGCCUGAGAGGGCGACCGGCCACACUGGGACUGAGAUACGGCCCAGACUCGUACGGGAGGCAGCAGUGGGGAAUAUUGCACAAUGGGCGCAAGCCUGAUGCAGCAACGCCGCGUGCGGGAUGACGGCCUUCGGGUUGUAAACCGCUUUCAGUUCCGACGAAGCGCAAGUGACGGUAGGAACAGAAGAAGGACCGGCCAACUACGUGCCAGCCGCCGCCGUAA